rnacentral:rRNA from 1 species
GAUGAACGCUGGCGGCGUGCCUAAUACAUGCAAGCCGAGCGAAUGGAUUAAGAGCUUGCUCUUAUGAAGUUAGCGGCGGACGGGUGAGUAACACGUGGGUAACCUGCCCAUAAGACUGGGAUAACUCCGGGAAACCGGGGCUAAUACCGGAUAACAUUUUGAACCGCAUGGUUCGAAAUUGAAAGGCGGCUUCGGCUGUCACUUAUGGAUGGACCCGCGUUGCAUUAGCUAGUUGGUGAGGUAACGGCGCACCAAGGCAACGCGGCGUAGCCGGCCUGAGAGGGUGAUCGGCCACACUGGGACUGAGACACGGCCCAGCCUCCUACGGGAGGCAGCAGUAGGGAAUCUUCCGCAAUGGACGAAAGUCUGACGGAGCAACGCCGCGUGAGUGAUGAAGGCUUUCGGGUCGUAAAACUCUGUUGUUAGGGAAGAACAAGUGCUAGUUGAAUAAGCUGGCACCUUGACGGUACCUAACCAGAAAGCCACGGCUAACUACGUGCCAGCAGCCGCCGCAG